GGAGCAUCUCGAAGUGGAAAAGGUCCCCCUUCUGGUAGGAUGGAUACAAAAGGAGGCAACAGUUUAUGUUCCUGGCGGGGGCAGAAAGGACAUUUUUUUUUUUUUCUUUUUUGGUCUUUGCAUCGUUGGACUUUUUAUUUUUUAGUGCUGUUUCAGUCGCCCAGACUGGGGCAAUCUUUUUGUAAAGCAAUAGCAGACCUGCCAACUUUCUCUUUUUUGGAAUCCUUAUUAAAGGCAAGUUGCUUAGACUUUUUGUUCUUUGCCUGGUUAGAGAAAGUGGUUGAAGAAGAACGUCAAAGCGUGAUUGAAACAGAGCAGCUCGUGGUUCGGUCCUUUACAUAACGUUCUAUGGUUGGCAUAGAAAUAACGCUUUUUCUCGGGGUUUGUUUUGUUUUGUUUUUAAAGAAGAAGAAUGAGCAAGAGGUAAUCCCGCAUAAGCCACUUGAUAUUUGUUCUCCACACUCUUAGCCACUCCCUGCCUCUCUUCCUAAUCUACGAACUGGGGAGUAACGUUGACUGCAAAACAUUUAAGCACUUUCUGUGAAGGUCACAUAAACAAGAACAUUGGCACUUGGAAUCAGAAGAUAAUUAAAAGAAACCCUAUAAUGUAAAUGCCAGCUGAGAUCAUUUUAACCCAGGUUGCUGGUCCUAAGUACCUACCUGGUGAUUUCCUUGGAAGAUAACCAGUCAGUGAAAACAGGCAGUGAAGGCAGCGGAUACAAUGAGAGGCUGAGAAAGUGGAAGAAGCCUUCUUAAUCUUCCUGUUGAUGUCAUAAAGAACCGAUGUCUUCAGACUACUGGUGGCAUUUGUCAUUCAACUCAGGGACUUUCACAGCCUCAAUUCACAAUAAAAGAAGCCAAUAUUCUUUUAAAGGAAAAUUUCUGAGCAGAAAGUUCCUAUCCAAGUUCUUAGUCUAAUA